ensembl:lncRNA
UUACAAGUACAUGCAACACAGAGACUUAGAAACCUGGAAAGACAAUCAUUUUAAAUAGUGUAUUUUCGAUACAAUGAUAGAGCCUAUGAUUCACACACACAGCAGGUAGCCUAGUGGUUAGAGUGUAGAGGUGGCAGGUAGCCUAGUGGUUAGAGUGUAGAGGCGGCAGGGUAGCCUAGUGGUUAGAGUGUAGAGGUGGCAGGGUAGCCUAGUGGUUAGAGUGUAGAGGUGGCAGGGUAGCCUAGUGGUUAGAGCGUAGAGGUGGCAGGGUAGCCUAGUGGUUAGAGCGUAGAGGUGGCAGGGUAGCCUAGUGGUUAGAGUGUAGAGGCGGCAGGGUAGCCUAGUGGUUAGAGCGUAGAGGCGGCAGGGUAGCCUAGUGGUUAGAGUGUAGAGGCGGCAGGGUAGCCUAGUGGUUAGAGUGUGGAGGUGGCAGGGUAGCCUAGUGGUUAGAGUGUAGAGGUGGCAGGGUAGCCUAGUGGUUAGAGUGUAGAGGUGGCAGGGUAGCCUAGUGGUUAGAGCGUUGGACUAGUAACCCGAAAGGUUGCACAAUUGAAUCCCCGUAGCUGACAAGGUACAAAUCUGUCG